CACCUGCUGCCUGAGUGGGAGGAGCUCAAGAGCUCAUAAAGGACAGCCAACUCACCUGUGCGAGCCCUUUUGUGAGAACAAUGGAGCUGGCUGCUGGUUGUAUCUCCUACAUUUCCACAACUGAGCAACUGGGUCUUUGAUCUACUAACCAGUUGGAUCAGUUACAAUAAAUAUUCCUUGGACUUAAAA